rnacentral:rRNA from 1 species
CUUGCGUCACAUUAGUUAGUUGGUGGGGUAAAGGCCUACCAAGACUAUGAUGUGUAGCCGGGCUGAGAGGUUGAACGGCCACAUUGGGACUGAGACACGGCCCAAACUCCUACGGGAGGCAGCAGUAGGGAAUUUUCGGCAAUGGAGGAAACUCUGACCGAGCAACGCCGCGUGAACGAUGAAGUAUUUCGGUACGUAAAGUUCUUUUAUUAGGGAAGAAUAAAUGAUGGAAAAAUCAUUCUGACGGUACCUAAUGAAUAAGCCCCGGCUAACUAUGUGCCAGCAGCCGCGGUAAUACAUAGGGGGCAAGCGUUAUCCGGAAUUAUUGGGCGUAAAGGGUGCGUAGGCGGUUAAAUAAGUUUAUGGUCUAAGUGCAAUGCUCAACAUUGUGAUGCUAUAAAAACUGUUUAGCUAGAGUAAGAUAGAGGCAAGUGGAAUUCCAUGUGUAGUGGUAAAAUGCGUAAAUAUAUGGAGGAACACCAGUAGCGAAGGCGGCUUGCUGGGUCUUUACUGACGCUGAGGCACGAAAGCGUGGGGAGCAAACAGGAUUAGAUACCCUGGUAGUCCACGCCGUAAACGAUGAGUACUAAACGUUGGGUAAAACCAGUGUUGAAGUUAACACAUUAAGUACUCCGCCUGAGUAGUACGUACGCAAGUAUGAAACUUAAAGGAAUUGACGGGACUCCGCACAAGCGGUGGAUCAUGUUGUUUAAUUCGAAGGUACCCGAAAAACCUCACCAGGUCUUGACAUGCUUCUGCAAAGCUGUAGAAACACAGUGGAGGUUAUCAGUUGCACAGGUGGUGCAUGGUUGUCGUCAGCUCGUGUCGUGAGAUGUUGGGUUAAGUCCCGCAACGAGCGCAACCCUUAUUGUUAGUUACCAGCACGUAAUGGUGGGGACUUUAGCAAGACUGCCAGUGAUGAAUUGGAGGAAGGUGGGGACGACGUCAAAUCAUCAUGCCCCUUAUGACCUGGGCUACAAACGUGAUACAAUGGCUGUUACAAAGGGUAGCUGAAGCGCAAGUUUUUGGCGAAUCUCAAAAAAACAGUCUCAGUUCGGAUUGAAG